rnacentral:rRNA from 1 species
GAUGAACGCUGGCGGCGUGCCUAAUACAUGCAAGUCGAGCGAACAGAUGAGGAGCUUGCUCCUCUGACGUUAGCGGCGGACAGGUGAGUAACACGUGGAUAACCUACCUAUAAGACUGGGAUAACUUCGGGAAACCGGAGCUAAUACCGGAUAAUAUAUUGAACCGCAUGGUUCAAUAGUGAAAGACGGUUUUGCUGUCACUUAUAGAUGGAUCCGCGCCGCAUUAGCUAGUUGGUAAGGUAACGGCUUACCAAGGCAACGAUGCGUAGCCGACCUGAGAGGGUGAUCGGCCACACUGGAACUGAGACACGGUCCAGACUCCUACGGGAGGCAGCAGUAGGGAAUCUUCCGCAAUGCGCGAAAGCCUGACGGAGCAACGCCGCGUGAGUGAUGAAGGUCUUCGGAUCGUAAAACUCUGUUAUUAGGGAAGAACAAAUGUGUAAGUAACUAUGCACGUCUUGACGGUACCUAAUCAGAAAGCCACGGCUAACUACGUG